rnacentral:rRNA from 1 species
AUGAAACACUCCUACGGGAGGCAGCAGUGGGGAAUUUUGGACAAUGGGGGCAACCCUGAUCCAGCAAUGCCGCGUGAGUGAAGAAGGCCUUCGGGUUGUAAAGCUCUUUUGUCAGGGAAGAAACGGUAGUAGCUAAUAUCUAUUACUAAUGACGGUACCUGAAGAAUAAGCACCGGCUAACUACGUGCCAGCAGCCGCGGUAAUACGUAGGGUGCAAGCGUUAAUCGGAAUUACUGGGCGUAAAGCGUGCGCAGGCGGUUAUGCAAGACAGAUGUGAAAUCCCCGGGCUCAACCUGGGAACUGCAUUUGUGACUGCAUAGCUAGAGUACGGUAGAGGGGGAUGGAAUUCCGCGUGUAGCAGUGAAAUGCGUAGAUAUGCGGAGGAACGCCGAUGGCGAAGGCAAUCCCCUGGACCUGUACUGACGCUCAUGCACGAAAGCGUGGGGAGCAAACAGGAUUAGAUACCCUAGUAGUCCGAAGUUC